GGUAAGGGACUUUCACAUUGCAAAGAGAGAGGAAGAUAUUGGUUCCUAUGCAGGUUAUAUAGGUUCUGCAUUUAUGUUUGGAAGAACUUUAACAUCUGCCUUUUGGGGUGUUGUGGCUGACCGUUAUGGACGAAAACCAGUUAUAAUUUUCGGCACUUCUAUAGUGGUUGUUUUCAAUACUCUUUUUGGUCUUAGUACCAACUUUUGGAUGGCUGUUGUAACAAGAUUUCUUCAUGGUAGUUUAAAUGGUUUGCUUGGACCAAUAAAGG